UUUAUACUCCAUCCGUCCAAGAUUCUUGUCUUAGAUUAGUCUAGAUACAGAUGUAUCUAAUACCAAAACGUGACUUGAUACAUCCAUAUUUAGACAAAUCUAAGACAAGAAUUUUGGGAUGGAGGGAGUAUUUC
rfam:Triticum aestivum genome assembly, contig: Triticum_aestivum_CS42_TGACv1_scaffold_220661_3B